UCGUCGGGAGCACGUCCGCUGUUUCCUAUUAUUGUGCUGUUUUUUUAGUACUUUCCUGUCUACGGAAAACUACAGAAGUGAAGUAGUGAAUUUUAUUACUUGUGGAACCAUGGAUUGGAUUUGGGCUGUUUAGUGGACGGUCUUCGUAAAGCUUGGUGGUUUUAAUGGACGGUAUUUCGGUGCAACCUUACUUCCUCAAGAGGCAGGUAAAAUUUUAUAUUAUAACCGAAGACUAAAUUCACUAUCGACGGAAACUGUUCUCAAACUGCAGAAAGAAAAUGGGCUUCCCUUCUCAGGACGUUGACUUUAACAGGAUUACUUUACUUUACUCCAUUCCAAUCCUGUAUAUGGUGCUUUAACCCCAGAAUAGUGUUUAGAGGUGAGAAUUAAUACCUGGAUUUGCUGGAAAUACCCGAGUUGCCUUCAACUGAUGGCUCAAGAUGUAAUGGGUAUAACACUUCAAUAAAUGAUGCACAUAUACUAUUCAUAGCAAUGAUGUAAUAGAAAUUACUGCAAUUAACUUAGUAUAGCAUCCUAGUCUUUCACCAAUGAUUGCAAACUGGUAAGCUGUGUAACUACCUUCAUCAGGUAGGUUUUCAAACCCACAGGGUUUAAAAAUACCGGUAUGGUUAUUUUUUUGCUUAUAAACAACCAGAAGUUUAAUAGUAUGUAUCAUGGCUUGGUAAUAUUUAAUGGAAUAUGGUAAUAUUUAAUUAUUUUCUUUUAAUACCUUGGGUUUAUGAUCUGUGAUUAGUUUAUGGUAAUUGACUGAAAUAAAAGUAUUUUUUCCAGAAAGGAAUUUCAUACUAAAGGUUUUUAGUAAUUUUAUUAAAUGUAGAUUGAAAUUUACAAUAUUAUGAAUUCAAAUUGGUGUUUCCAGAAAUUCAAAUUAGUGGUUCUAGAAACAUUCUGUACAACGGAAAGCCUGUGCAUAAAUUGUGCAUUACUGAUGGUAGUCUGUGCUGACAAGUAAUUUAGAUUAGUUAGUAUAUAAAUUAAACAUUGAGUAAAUAAAUUAUAAAAACCAAGAAAUCCUGAGGAAAAUACAUAGUAUAACCUGUCUCGUUAAUGCAACAACUGUUAAAUUUCAUUUUUUGUUGUUGGGUGGAAGGAAGUGAAUUGAGCUGAUUACUAGUGAAAGCUAAAGGAGGGUAUUUAGAAUAAAAUAAGAAAUUUUGUGUUACACUAGAUCUGUGGUUUUGCUACUUAGUGAACUAUAAACGAAGGUAUUAAGAGAAUUUGCAUUGGUAAACGAGAUUUAUGGUUUCAUAAGUAAACUAUAAACAAAGGUAGUGAAAGUUGUAAUUGGUGAAUGAGGUUUUAAUAUUUUUAAGGGUUUAACGCAGAUCUAAACUUUUAUAUUGGCUUUAACCUUUUGAAAUAAGUAAUAUAUGUACCAUAGCAGAUUUAGCAUGUUCUGUAUACUUUAAUUACCACUUGGCUUCUAUUCAAGCAGUACUUGUGCUGAUAAAGGGAAAGUGAAUAAAUUUAAAGC